rnacentral:rRNA from 1 species
AGAGUUUGAUCAUGGCUCAUAACGAACGCUGGCGGCAGGCCUAACACAUGCAAGUCGAGCGCACCUUCGGGUGAGCGGCGGACGGGUUAGUAACGCGUGGGAACGUACCCUUUUCUACGGAAUAGCCUUUGGAAACGAAGAGUAAUACCGUAUACGCCCUUUGGGGGAAAGAUUUAUCGGAGAAGGAUCGGCCCGCGUUAGAUUAGAUAGUUGGUGGGGUAACGGCCUACCAAGUCUACGAUCUAUAGCUGGUUUUAGAGGAUGAUCAGCAACACUGGGACUGAGACACGGCCCAGACUCCUACGGGAGGCAGCAGUGGGGAAUCUUAGACAAUGGGCGCAAGCCUGAUCUAGCCAUGCCGCGUGAGUGAUGAAGGCCUUAAGGUCGUAAAGCUCUUUCGCCUGUGAUGAUAAUGACAGUAGCAGGUAAAGAAACCCCGGCUAACUCCGUGCCAGCAGCCGCGGUAAUACGGAGGGGGUUAGCGUUGUUCGGAAUUACUGGGCGUAAAGCGCACGUAGGCGGAUUGGAAAGUUGGGGGUGAAAUCCCGGGGCUCAACCCCGGAACUGCCUCCAAAACUAUCAGUCUAGAGUUCGAGAGAGGUGAGUGGAAUUCCAAGUGUAGAGGUGAAAUUCGUAGAUAUUUGGAGGAACACCAGUGGCGAAGGCGGCUCACUGGCUCGAUACUGACGCUGAGGUGCGAAAGUGUGGGGAGCAAACAGGAUUAGAUACCCUGGUAGUCCACACCGUAAACGAUGAAUGCCAGUCGUCGGGCAGUAUACUGUUCGGUGACACACCUAACGGAUUAAGCAUUCCGCCUGGGGAGUACGGUCGCAAGAUUAAAACUCAAAGGAAUUGACGGAGGCCC